rnacentral:rRNA from 1 species
ACAAUGAAGAGUUUGAUCCUGGCUCAGGAUGAACGCUAGCGACAGGCCUAACACAUGCAAGUCGAGGGGCAGCGAGCCGUAGCAAUACGGUGUCGGCGACCGGCGAAUGGGUGAGUAACGCG